rnacentral:hammerhead_ribozyme from 1 species
GUACUGCUGAAGAGUCCAAUACUAGGACGAAACGGCCGUCAAGUGC